UACGGGGGGAGCAAGCGUUGUUCGGAUUUACUGGGCGUAAAGCGCACGUAGGCGGCUUUGUAAGUUAGAGGUGAAAGCCCGGGGCUCAACUCCGGAAUUGCCUUUAAGACUGCAUCGCUAGAAUUGUGGAGAGGUAAGUGGAAUUCCGAGUGUAGAGGUGAAAUUCGUAGAUAUUCGGAAGAACACCAGUGGCGAAGGCGACUUACUGGACACAUAUUGACGCUGAGGCACGAAAGCGUGGGGAGCA
rnacentral:rRNA from 1 species